AUGAACGCUGGCGGCGUGCCUAAUACAUGCAAGUCGAGCGGUAAGGCCCCUUCGGGGGUACACGAGCGGCGGACGGCUGAGUAACGCGUAGGAACGUACCCCAAAGUGAGGGAUAAGCACCAGAAAUGGUGUCUAAUACCGCAUGUGGUCUAAGGAUUAAAGCUUCGGCGCUUUGGGAACGGCCUGCGUAUGAUUAGUUUGUUGGUGAGGUAAUGGCUCACCAAGACUACGAUCAUUAGCUGGUCUGAGAGGAUGAUCAGCCAGACUGGGACUGAGAACGGCCCAGACUCCUACGGGAGGCAGCAGUAGGGAAUUUUCCACAAUGGGCGAAAGCCUGAUGGAGCAACGCCGCGUGCAGGAUGAAGGGCUUCGGUUCGUAAACUGCUUUUAUAUGUGACGAUUAUGACGGUAGCAUAUGAAUAAGGAUCGGCUAAUUCCGU
rnacentral:rRNA from 1 species